UACGUAGGGUGCGAGCGUUGUCCGGAAUUAUUGGGCGUAAAGAGCUUGUAGGCGGGUUGUCGCGUCUGCUGUGAAAAUCCGGGGCUCAACCCCGGACUUGCAGUGGGUACGGGCAGACUAGAGUGUGGUAGGGGAGACUGGAAUUCCUGGUGUAGCGGUGGAAUGCGCAGAUAUCAGGAGGAACACCGGUGGCGAAGGCGGGUCUCUGGGCCGAUACUGACGCUGAGGAGCGAAAGCGUGGGGAGCGAACAGG
rnacentral:rRNA from 1 species